CUCCGAUCUCUUGAUGCCUCACCAAGGGCAGACAGUCCCAGUGCCCGCAGCAGUGUAGGUGCUUCUUCAGCCGCGGUGAUCACAUGGCUAGAUCCGUUGUGGGUCACUGUGAAGGCUCGUGGAAUGGUCCAGUGGUAUGUAACUCUUGCGAUUCUCAGUUGGCUCGUGGUUUGGUGGAGCAUUUUGCUCCAUUGCAGGGUGAACC